UUUGUAUUGUUCUGAUCAAACUUUUGUAAUACCUGGAAGAUGCAAAGUCUGGACAUUUGAGGCAUUAGAAACUGUUUCAUGUCCGAAAAGAAACGAAGAGAAGAAGAAAAUAAGGAACAAUGCAUAAGGGUUUGAUCUGAAACAUAACAUGAUGUUUAUGUCUCUCUUUGUGUUUCUUAAUAUUGAUUUUGAA